rnacentral:misc_RNA from 1 species
GAAAUGCGAUAAGUAAUGUGAAUUGCAGAAUUCAGUGAAUCAUCGAAUCUUUGAACGCACAUUGCGCCCCCUGGUAUUCCGGCGGGCAUGCCUAUUCGAGCGUCAUUUCUAUCCUCAAGCUCCGCUUGAUAUUGGGAGGCAAGCCUCAUCCCCCCGGGGAGAGGCUCCCCCGAAAAUUAGCGGCGGAUCGGCCGGGGUCCCAGCGCGGUGACUAUUUUUUCUCGCUGAUUGGAUCCCCGGGCGGCUCUUGCCGGGCUAAAAACCAUUAUUUCUUUCAAGAUUGACCUCGGAUUAGGUAGGGAUACCCGCUGAACUUAA